rnacentral:snoRNA from 1 species
GAGCAAGGACGCCUAUAAAUCGUGACGAAACUUGCAUUGAAGGUUGGCAAAAUCAAAAAAGUUUCUGCGAUUCUCCGUGCCCAUCAAAUCUUUUAAUUUUGAAUGCGGCCUCGAACAAAUCGCUACAUU